rnacentral:rRNA from 1 species
CGCAUCUGUGCAUGCAGCAUAUCAAUAAGCGGAGGAAAAGAAACUAACAAGGAUUCCCCUAGUAACGGCGAGUGAAGCGGGAAGAGCUCAAAUUUGAAAUCCUAAAGGGUUUCCCUUUACGUAAUUGUAGUUUAAAGAAGUGUUUCUCUGUUGAGGUCUUGGUAAAAGUUCUUUGGAAUAGGACAUCAUAGAGGGUGAGAAUCCCGUAUUUGACCUUUACUUUCAACUUUGUGAUACACUUUCAAAGAGUCGGAUUGUUUGGGAAUGCAGUCCAAAAUGGGUGGUAAAUUUCAUCUAAAGCUAAAUAUUGGCGAGAGACCGAUAGCGAACAAGUACCGUGAGGGAAAGAUGAAAAGAACUUUGAAAAGAGAGUUAAACAGUACGUGAAAUUGUCAAAAGGGUAGCGUUUGACACCAGUGUUGUUUUUCUGAAAAUCAAUUAAAGAACUGUUUAUGCUAAGCUUGUUUAGACUUUAUCAGCUAAUCUGUUUAGUUUUGAGCUUUUCUUUAAUGCACUUUUCAGUUAACAAGUCAACAUCAAUUUCUUUUGCUGUAAAAAAGCUUGAGGAAGGUGGCUUGAGAUUCGUCUUAAGUGUUUAUAGCCUCUUGCCUAUGCAGUCGGAGAGAUUGAGGUCUGCAGCGUAGAUCCUUCGGGACUAAAUGCAUUUGUGCUAAGUUAUAGCAUUUUAUAGACAACUUGAUGACUAUGAUUUGUCUUGUAGCUUACUCGCUUAUGUUAUUUUACCUACGCUUAGGAUGUUGAAUCUGUGCGAGACUA